CUCCAGCAUCUCUCUCUUUCUUGCCUUGUCUCACUGACCGCAAUGAUGGUGCUUGAUUCCUGAAGUCUGAAACGCUUGAGAACGCUCCAGAACUUUCUUUGCAAUCAUGGAGCACGACCAGGGACCCAGUUUUCAGACGGUGGCAGACCAGUGGCUAUACCACUGCUAUAUAGGAAGAAGGGAAUCAAUAAGGAAUCCUACAAAAGAGGAUGCAUCAGAAAAAGAGAAGUACUACCCACAUCUUUAUUUCUUAUCUGAUCUUCAGUGAGCUGGACUUUAAUAAGAGGCUGGACUGUGGUAAACAGCUUCCACCAGGGCCAAUCCUUCACACCUCGAUUCUUCUUGAUGUUCUUCUGCAGGCACCGGAUCGCCAAAUCCUGGAUCUACAUGCAACAAAGCACACAAAGAUAAAUAAAUAAAUCUGUAAUUACAA